GCAACGAUGGGUAGCGGGUGUGAGAGCAUGACCCGCGUCAUUGGGACUGAGACACUGCCCAGACAUCUACGGAUGGCUGCAGUCGAGAAUCUUCGGCAAUGGGCGAAAGCCUGACCGAGCGACGCCGCGUGCGGGAUGAAGGCCCUCG
rnacentral:rRNA from 1 species